UACGUAGGGGGCAAGCGUUGUCCGGAAUCAUUGGGCGUAAAGAGCGUGUAGGCGGCCCGGUAAGUCCGCUGUAAAAGUCAAAGGCUCAACCUUUGAAUGUCAGUGGAUACUGCCGGGCUAGAGUCCGGAAGAGGCGAGUGGAACUCCUGGUGUAGCGGUGGAAUGCGCAGAUAUCAGGAAGAACACCAACGGCGAAGGCAGCUCGCUGGGACGGUACUGACGCUGAGACGACGGAAG
rnacentral:rRNA from 1 species